UAUUGGGAAAGGGCUUGACAAUUGGACUAGAGCGUCACGAGCUAAAAUGACCAUUAGUGUUGUCAAAGGGAAGAAACGUCCUGAGCAACCGUUGCAAGCAGCAAAGUUAGCUUCAGAGUGUGGAAUUACAGUAAGAAAUUAUGUGCCUAUAUUCCCACACUGGAAGGAGUACAAGAAAGAGGAAAAUAAAGAAGUUGUUACAAACUAUAUGGAUAAAGUGGCUGUAAGGUUUGACAUGGAUGUUGAAGAUAAGGGAAUAAAAGAUGCUUAUACUGAUAUGCUCAAGAAUGGGGUGCGACAGAUGCGCUAUAGGCUCAAAAAAACGUUAGUUUGAUGGUGUUCCAACAAAUGAAGUAUUGACAAAAUGUCCACCUCAUGUAAAACCAGAAGACUGGGCUAAUCUUGUGCAGAAGUGGUCUGACCCAAAACACAAGGUAACUUCUACAAAAAAACAAAGUGAAUCGAGGGAAAGUAAGGUUUCACCAACCACAAGAUCACAGAGUUAUAUUGCUCAUUGCUAUGCUAUAGUAAGUAGUCAUUCCACCUGUUCAACUAUGCUUUUUUUCAGUUGGUUGGAUAAUAAUAUGCUUAUUUGUUCAACUGCAUUUCAGAGAGGAGAAAAAUACAAAGAUGGUGAACCCAAUGCUAUUGACCUUUUCAAGGAAUGCCAUUGCACU